UCACAUUAUUUGCUAUGAACCGAGUGC
rnacentral:sRNA from 1 species